rnacentral:lncRNA from 1 species
CUCCUCUCAGAUAACUCCAGCUUGUGUCAAGCUGACUUAAAAACCAGCCAGCACAAGUGCCACAGCUCAUGUCAGUUCAGUUUCUCAUUCAGGUCAUUUCCCCAAUACCUAUGGUGGUGAACACAGCACUUUCAAAAAAAACGCUGGCUUAGUCAUAGGAGCUCCCGGAUCUAUUUUUAUUUAAGACCUAAAGAGUUCCUGUUUGUUUGUUUGUUUGUUUGUUUGUGAGACAGGGUAGUCCUGUGUAGUCCUGGCUCAGAUCUGCCUGUUAUCAGUCUUUGCUGGGAUUAAAGAUUUGAAAUCCUGGUGACUUAAUAAGACUCCUGACUCUCCACAGCCAACCUCAAUCAUAACACGAAAUAGAAUCUACCUGGAAAACAUUCUUGCAGCACAAAACUCCUUUUAUUGUAUGUUGAUUCUUUACACCCUCAAUUUUAAGAAUGCUUAUCAAUAACUACAAGAGAUAUAGGCCAGAAGAGGACGUCAGAUUCCUGGGUCUGGAGCUACAGAUGGUUGUGAUGUGUGGUGUGUGCUGCAGCAGUGGGUGCUGGGAAUCAAACCUGGGUCCUCUGGAUAAGCAGUCAGUGCUUUUAACUAUGAGCCUUCUCUCUAGCCCCAAGUAUUAUAUUAUCUUUAAAGGUAUUGUUGAGAUAUAAUUAAUUUACAGAAAACAGCAUAUAUUUAAAGCAUUUGAUUGAUGAAUCUGAUCGACCUGCAUCCUGAGUCCAUCAAGAUAAUCAAGACGACACAUUCUGACCAUGUCCAAAACCUCCCCAAUGUCCCUUCAUGAUUUAUGUCUCCCUAUCAACCUCAUGCUCUGACAACCAACUUACUUUAUCACUGUAAAUUAGUUUGUAAGUGUUAGGAUUUUAAGGAAAUUAAAUUCUGCACGAAAC